GCCUCUCUCAGUUCGGAUUGGAGUCUGCAACCCGACUCCAUGAAGCUGGAUUCGCUAGUAAUCGCGCAUCAGCCACGGCGCGGUGAAUACGUUCCCGGGCCUUGUACACACCGCCCGUCAAGCCAUGAAAGCCGGGGGUACCUGAAGUGCGUAACCGCAAGGAGCGCCCUAGGGUAAAACUGGUGAUUGGGGCUAAGUCGUAACAAGGUACC
rnacentral:rRNA from 1 species